AAAAGGUUAGAAUAAUAAAAUUCAAAUUAAUGUCAGUAAUUAGAUUCUCAAUGGGGAGGGGAACCUUUUA
rnacentral:tRNA from 1 species